rnacentral:lncRNA from 1 species
AUCGAUGUUGUGACAUUCACAUGAAGGAUCUUCGAUGAAUUCAUAGAUAUGCAGGCCUCCUUGUCAAAUAAAAGGGAUGCACAAUGCUGAUCCUAUGAUCCAGUGUCAUAAACAGCAAGCAUUUUGGGUGAGGAUGAUGAACCAAGUCCGUUUCUGUUACACUGUAUAUUUAAUUUAUAUGAAUGAUUGCUCAAUAUGUCAAUGGAACUAUAAGUCUAAAUCAGGUAUACAUUGUUUGCAGUUCACUGUCCACAUCUACAGAUAAACUGUUGCAUGGGUACAAAUUGAUUUUGUCUCGAUCAUUAAAUGUGUUAAUUGCAGUUGACAGAAGUUGGCCGGUGCAAUCAACCCUAGUUGGUACGAGACCACGAGG